UCUGGAAGAUACUUGAAUCACAGGACUGAAUAAGGAAGAGCUGCCCUCAGCGUGGCCGGGCAACAUCUAAUCGGCUGAAAGCUUGGAUCGAAUGAAAAGGCAGAGGAAAGGUGAAUUUUCUUUUUAUCCUGGAGCUGGACACCCUGUUUCUCCUGCCUGUGGACAUCAGAAUUCUAGGCUCUGUGGCAUUUCAACUGUAAAACUUGCACUAGUAGCCAGCUGGUUUCUCAAGUCGUUGGCUUCAAAACUGAGAAGUACAGCAUUCUCUUCCCAGGUUCUGAAGACCUCAAAUGGACUGAGCCACACUACCAGCAUCCAGCAUCCAUGGUUCUCCAGUCUGCAGAUGGCCUAUUAUGGGACUUUUCAGUCUUCAUAAUUAUAUGAGAGAAAGAAAAUGAAAAGGAUUUGUAAACUAUAAAUCUCUAAACAGAUGGGAGGAAAGGAAUUGAUGAAACAAUAAAUUUAUUGAUGAAACAAUAAAAAUAAACAUAAAGAACCAAAGCGUUUUGUAGAGAAGAGGACUCACUUUGUUGCCCAAGCAGGUCUUGAACUCCUAGCCUCAAGUGUCACUCCUGCCUUGGCCUCUGAAAAUGCUGGGAUUACAGGUGUGAAGCACUACACCCAGCUGAGACUUUCUUUUUCUACCCUGAAAUCAUACAAAAAUGUUUGGAUUUAUUUUGUCCAGGAG
rnacentral:lncRNA from 1 species